rnacentral:tRNA from 1 species
CAGGACAUAGUUUAAUAAGAAUAUUGGCUUUGGGGGCCUGAGGUGGGGGGGGGUACUCCUCUGUCCUGA